AUUGAACGCUGGCGGCAUGCCUUACACAUGCAAGUCGAACGGUAACAGGUCUUCGGAUGCUGACGAGUGGCGAACGGGUGAGUAAUACAUCGGAACGUGCCUAGUAGUGGGGGGUAACUACUCGAAAGAGUGGCUAAUACCGCAUGAGGUCUACGGAUGAAAGCAGGGGAUCGCAAGACCUUGUGCUACUAGAGCGGCCGAUGGCAGAUUAGGUAGUUGGUGGGAUAAAAGCUUACCAAGCCGACGAUCUGUAGCUGGUCUGAGAGGACGAUCAGCCACACUGGGACUGAGACACGGCCCAGACUCCUACGGGAGGCAGCAGUGGGGAAUUUUGGACAAUGGGCGCAAGCCUGAUCCAGCAAUGCCGCGUGCAGGAUGAAGGCCUUCGGGUUGUAAACUGCUUUUGUACGGAACGAAAAGCCUUGGGUUAAUACCCUGGGGUCAUGACGGUACCGUAAGAAUAAGCACCGGCUAACUACGUGCCAGCCGCCGCAGUAACAC
rnacentral:rRNA from 1 species